CAGUGCCCUGCUCAGAAACUUACUGCUCCCUGGAACUACACGGCACCAGUACCUUUCUGAGUAGAGUAAGGCUCA
rnacentral:pre_miRNA from 1 species